rnacentral:rRNA from 1 species
UGGAAGUAAAAGUCGUAACAAGGUUUCCGUAGGUGAACCUGCGGAAGGAUCAUUGUCGAUGCCUUACAUGCAGACCAACACGUGAAUCAGUUUGAACACAUAGGGUUGGUUUGAGGUGUUCAACACCUCGGCUUGCCUCUGGUUCGGAGGAGGACGAUGUUGUGCGUUCUCCUUUGUGCCAAAACACAAACCCCGGCGCUGAAUGCGUCAAGGAAUUUAAAAUUUGCUCUGAGCGCACCUGCAUGGCACCGGAGACGGUUUUCGUGCGGGUUGUGUUCUGACACAUAAUAUAGAAUGACUCUCGGCAACGGAUAUCUAGGCUCUUGCAUCGAUGAAGAACGUAGCGAAAUGCGAUACUUGGUGUGAAUUGCAGAAUCCCGUGAACCAUCGAGUCUUUGAACGCAAGUUGCGCCCGAUGCCAUUAGGUUGAGGGCACGUCUGCCUGGGCGUCACAUAUCGAAGCCUCUCGCCAAUUUCCUAUAUUGAUAGGGGUAUUGUGCAGGGCGAAUGUUGGCCUCCCGUGAGCUUUAUUGCCUCAUGGUUGGUUGAAAAUCGAGACCUUGGUAGGGUGUGCCAUGAUAGGUGGUGGCUGUGUUACGCACGAGACCAAGUAAGUCAUGUGCUGCUCUAUUGAAUUUAGGCCUCUUUUACCCACAUGCGUUUCGAAACGCUCGUGAUGAGACCUCAGGUCAGGCGGGGCUACCCGCUGAAUUUAAGCAUAUCAAUAAUCCGGAGGAA